CGGAAACCGGAGCUAAUACCGGAUAAUAUAUUGAACCGCAUGGUUCAAUAGUGAAAGACGGUUUUGCUGUCACUUAUAGAUGGAUCCGCGCCGCAUUAGCUAGUUGGUAAGGUAACGGCUUACCAAGGCAACGAUGCGUAGCCGACCUGAGAGGGUGAUCGGCCACACUGGAACUGAGACACGGUCCAGACUCCUACGGGAGGCAGCAGCU
rnacentral:rRNA from 1 species